AGUGCCACAGGCAUGCCAACCUUCGGUUAGGGCCAUGUUGAGUGUGGCCGAAAGGUGGGAGCGAAAUAAAACAAGGAGCAGAACCGCGAAGAAGCCAUGUUUGGUGCGUCGAAGUUUAAACUCGUAGGACUUGGGAGGAGCCAAGGUAUAUCCGCAGAAGAGACCACCCCUGCCCUUUCGCUUUGACGCUCAUUGGGCCUUUUGGCUGCGCAUUUCACCCCGGGCUGAGAAAACAAGCUGGGGAUUCGACAAGAAUGAACUCAAAGUCUGGAAACGGCAGCUUCUGAGAGUUUACAAUGUUUCACCAACUGUCGUCCAAAUAAGUCGUCACCCCUGUCAGAGUAGUUGCAGCUCUGCCGUUACCCACUGCUGUCACUGUGGCCGUUUUAUUCGCGAGGGUUACAGUUCUGUUUAGCAUGCAUCUAAUGACUUAAGACUCCACGCAAGUAAAACGGAGUUUCCUCCCAUUAAGUAUUGGCUUUGCUUUAACAGUGCUUUGAGAGGCUCUCUGUGGCCAACAUAUCUUCUCAUAUCUUUGUCCUCGUUUCCCAAUCUCCGCGUGGUGAAAUCAUCUAUCAAGACUUGGCUUAAAGGACCUCUCUUCUGCAAAUAAUGCCAUCUUCCGCUAGGUGCUCACUGCACACAGACUCGCCGCCCACCACUUCUGUCCACCUUCUGAACUCCGAUAGUUAUUUACCCAGAGACUGUUUCUCAUCUUUAAGUGUCGUGAAGACUUUAAGAUCUGUUUUAUCUCUCUAUACCCCAAAAUGGCCUAGCACAGUAACUAGGACAUUGUAGGUGCUCAAUAAAUGUUUGUCGAAUAUCAAUGACAGCAGGAGGCAGUAAAUGGUCCCUCUUUGUAGGGCCUACAGCUGUGCCUGAGUAGGAUGUACAGAAGUCCUGCAUACGUGUGAAGUGUCUCCAGGAAGCUGCACUGGAGGGGACAGGAAAUGUGGGUAAUCGUAUGGUGCAAGUGGUAGCAAAAAAGACAACAUAAGGAAAAUGUUAUUUAGGUUUUGCCCAGUCUUGCUGUUUAAAGCCCUGUGUUAGAUGCUUUUCAUGCGCUAUUUUACUGAAUGUAAACAACCACCUUAUUAAAUAUACUCACUUUUUUAAAACGAAGAAACACGUACUGGCCGGUCACAGUGGCUCACGCCUGUAAUCUCAGCACUUUGCGGGGCCGAGGCGGGUGGAUCACGAGGUCAGGAGUACAAGACCAGCCUGGCCAAGAUGGUGAAACCCCGUCUCUACUAAAAAUACAAAAAUUAGCCGGGCGUGGUGGCGGGUGCCUGUAAUCCCAGCUACUCGGGAGGCGGAGGCAGGAGUAUCGCUUGAACCUGCGAGGCGGAGGUUGCAGUGAGCCGGGAUCGCACCACUGCACUCCAGCCUGGGCAACAGAGUGAGACUCCAUCUCAAAAAAAUAAAAAAAAAGAAAGAAAGAAAGAAAAAGAAACAAGUACUGAAAAAGCUAAGUAAUUUGCCCAAUUUUAUACCAUCAAUAAAAGGGAGCUGUAAGCUUUGG
rnacentral:lncRNA from 1 species